AAACUGCAAGUUUCUUCAUUCGUUGCAGUUUCGGAAAAUUUAAAGCAAUCCAACUGCUCCCGAAAACCACCAUAAUCCUCCGGCAAAUCUGCCGCAUCGACAUAUUCGUGUAAGGAAGCCCAGCAAGAUCCAUGGAAAGGCCAAAUAAUCGACAUUAGCAUGUCGACGAUCCAAUUUUGAUUUACGAUGUGGAUGGUUUGAAAGCUCAACGGAAAGGCUUCCUGUGAUAUAACGAACAUUUACUGUCAGCUGAAAGAAGUCAUGAGAAAGGUUUGCAUCUACGAGCUAGUAGGACUUGUAAGGCUUUCGAAAAGAUCGGCAAAGAUGUUCGUACUGUCAACAGAUCAGCGAUUUUCCUUGCAUAGCCGGGCGUAAAAUGCCUUGCCUGAUGGAGGCUUAAAUUUUGGAGAUCAACAAUGGCAACAAUUCCGUUUAUCUGAACAUCGAAAUUCGAAGCGAGCUGCUGGAGGCAAAAGACGUUGCAGCGGAAAAUGUCGUCGAGGGAUAAUUUGUUCGGAUUCCAUCGUCCUAAUUUCACAAAGUUACUUGACGCAAAUGCUGUAAAAUGUACCGGACUGUGGAUUGAGUUUCAAAGUUAGAAGACCCGAUUUUCCCAGCGAAACAAAAACAAACAAUACAAGAAGAGGGCGAUUUCAAAGUCCAAUGCGAAGCACGUGAACUAAGCAUGAAUGAUAGACAUCGUUUCUAUUUUUCAAAUGAGGCAUGUGCUGGAACAUGUAGUGCUAAAACUUACUUGACAAAUUUUCUCGUAAAUAUUGCUACGUGGACUUAGCCAGCCGGAUUUGAGUUGUCAACUGUGUUCAACCACAAGAACGUGCGAACUACUAAUAGCUUCGUCUUCUGCCACUUGUUUGACGCCCUUGAAAAGGCUUUCAGAUGCCCCUCUGUUAUGUAGCCUUGAAGCGUCUUCCUUGGUCGCGUGGAUACACACGGAAGAACAAGAACCGCCUCUUUUGAGCUUCUUAUUUCGUCGCCAUCAUAAUAAAGUUUUCUGCUAAUCUGUUC